rnacentral:rRNA from 1 species
UUUUAUGGAGAGUUUGAUCCUGGCUCAGGAUGAACGCUGGCGGCGUGCCUAAUACAUGCAAGUCGAGCGAACGGACGAGAAGCUUGCUUCUCUGAUGUUAGCGGCGGACGGGUGAGUAACACGUGGAUAACCUACCUAUAAGACUGGGAUAACUUCGGGAAACCGGAGCUAAUACCGGAUAAUAUUUUGAACCGCAUGGUUCAAAAGUGAAAGACGGUCUUGCUGUCACUUAUAGAUGGAUCCGCGCUGCAUUAGCUAGUUGGUAAGGUAACGGCUUACCAAGGCAACGAUGCAUAGUCGCUCUAAGACUGGGAUAACUUCGGGAAACCGGAGCUAAUACCGGAUAAUAUUUUGAACCGCAUGGUUCAAAAGUGAAAGACGGUCUUGCUGUCACUUA